UUCAAAUCGCAAUUGACACAGUUCAAUUUUUAUUUAAUUAGUGAUGAACCCUAAAUUUGGUCAAUGCUUAUAAAUUGUUUUAUUGUUUCGUGCAUGAUUGCUAACUGAUAUUUUGUAAGGAAAUGGCACCUGAAGGUUUGUUUCCUGGUGAAGGUCAAAGGGGAGCUGUUGGUGACUAUAACAAUCUUAAAUACCCAAAACUUGGAGAUAUGCUAGAUUAUAUUCUUAUAUAGCAGCCAGCAUUACUAGAGGCCACAGAAAUGAGGGAGGCAAAGCUUCUUUUCCCUUCAAAAACAUAUGUGGCUAUGAUCAAAUUUCUGUUGAAAUGCUUUGAGGCAGAUGCAGAACAAUACAGGACAGUAGAAAGAAUUCUGGAGUAUUGGCCUUCAGUGGAGAAUAUGUGUUUGCUACUGGAACAUGCUAUGGCAUAUAAAGGCUCUGUUGAGUCGCAUUCAAAUGCCUCCAAGGCACUAAUCACAAUUGGAACUUAUUUUCAAGAGGUUAUUUCAGGGAUUUCUUUUGCUUUCUUGUUUAGUUUGUAUCUCCUAGUUGUGUCUUCCUUUUUAAUGAAUCAUUUUCAUCUAGAUGAUAGCAUCACGCUAUGCCAUGAAAAUUUCAUGGUUAAAGCAAUUUUUGGGUCACAUGGAUUUCGAUACCUGUGAAGCUAGUUGUGUCUUCCUUUUCAAUUUUUGCACUUUCUACUGUAGUCAAUUUGUGUAAGAAACUUCCUUCUGAAUGUCCUGCACCUUUAAUGGAGGCAGUUCCAAUAUUGUGUAAACUUCUUCAGUAUGAGGAUCGGUAGCUUGUUGAAAAUGUAGCCACUUGCUUGAUAAAGAUAGCAGAAGGAGCACGCCACACGUCUGAUAUGUUGGACGAACUUUGUAAACAUGGAUUGGUUCAUCAAGCUACACAUCUGAUAGACUUGAAUUGUCGAACCAUCUUGUGCCAACCAGUUUACACCGGUUUGAUUGGGCUACUUGUCACACUUGCUUCUGGUUCAAUUGUAGCUGUCAGGACUCUUUUUGAGCUUAAUAUAAGCAGCAUAUUGAAGGAUAUCUUGUCUAUUUAUGAUCUUUCUCAUAAAAUGCCUUCUCCUAAUAUGGUUGAUGGACAUUGCAAUCAGGUACUCUUCUUGCUCCUAUAGCAACACAAUUUCAUUAAUCUGCAACUAUUUCUUUUCUCAUGUUGAUAAAUAUCAUUAUUGGAAGGAAAUAGAUAUAAACUAUUAUUUCUUUGAAUCCUCAACAUUCUACUUGAACAUGUGAAACAUACGAUAUUAUUAAGUAUCACAAUAGUGCUUAUGGACGUAAGGUGUAAAUGGAACAAUUGUUUCUAUAAUGGGAUCAAACAAGUGUAAUCAUAG